AACGAACGCUGGCGGCAGGCUUAACACAUGCAAGUCGAACGCCCCGCAAGGGGAGUGGCAGACGGGUGAGUAACGCGUGGGAAUCUACCUAGUUCUACGGAACAACAGUUGGAAACGACUGCUAAUACCGUAUACGCCCUACGGGGGAAAGAUUUAUCGGAAUUAGAUGAGCCCGCGCAAGAUUAGCUAGUUGGUGAGGU
rnacentral:rRNA from 1 species